AGAGUUUGAUCCUGGCUCAGGAUGAACGCUAGCGGCAGGCUUAACACAUGCAAGUCGAGGGGCAGCGCGAUGUAGCAAUACAUUGGCGGCGACCGGCGCACGGGUGCGUAACACGUAUGGAACCUGCCCUGUACUGGAAGAUAACCCGGAGAAAUCCGGACUAAUAUUCCAUAAUAAACGAGGUGGCAUCACCUUGUUUUGAAAGCUCCGGCGGUACAGGAUGGUCAUGCGCACGAUUAGCUAGUUGGUAAGGUAACGGCUUACCAAGGCGACGAUAGGUAGGGGCCCUGAGAGGGGGAUCCCCCACACUGGUACUGAGACACGGACCAGACUCCUACGGGAGGCAGCAGUGAGGAAUAUUGGACAAUGGGCGCAAGCCUGAUCCAGCCAUGCCGCGUGCAGGAAGACGGCCCUAUGGGUUGUAAACUGCUUUUGUACGGGAAGAAACACCCCCUCGUGAGGGGGCUUGACGGUACCGUAAGAAUAAGGAUCGGCUAACUCCGUGCCAGCAGCCGCGGUAAUA
rnacentral:rRNA from 1 species